GGCUGCUUCUCCACGCAUCCCUUUGCCUGCCUGCCUGUGCCAGGGGUUGUCAAGGGCUUUUGGGUCAGAGUGGGCACCCCUUUCUCCAAGGCUCCCUGCAACAGCUGGCCUGUCCCUGGUGGGGCUGACAGCUUCCUUCUCACCCUGCCAGGCUGCCCAAGCGCCAGAGGUGACCUAUGAGGCAGAAGAGGGCUCCUUGUGGACGUUGCUACUCACUAGCUUGGAUGGGCACCUGCUGGAGCCAGAUGCUGAGUACCUCCACUGGCUGCUAACCAACAUCCCGGGUAACCGGGUGGCUGAAGGACAGGUGACGUGUCCCUACCUCCCCCCCUUCCCUGCCCGAGGCUCCGGCAUCCACCGUCUUGCCUUCCUGCUCUUCAAGCAGGACCAGCUGAUUGACUUCUCCGAGGACGCACGCCCCUCACCCUGCUAUCAGCUGGCCCAGCGGACCUUCCGCACUUUUGAUUUCUACAAGAAACACCAAGAAGCCAUGACUCCAGCCGGCUUGUCCUUCUUCCAGUGCCGCUGGGAUGACUCCGUCACCUACAUCUUCCACCAGCUUCUAG
rnacentral:sRNA from 1 species